UACAGAGGUCUCAAGCGUUGUCCGGAUUUAUUGGGCGUAAAGAGCUCGUAGGCGGUUCGAUAAGUCGGACGUGAAAUCUCCACGCUCAACGUGGAGGGGCCGUUCGAUACUGUCGUGACUCGAGUCCGGUAGGGGAGUGUGGAAUUCCCGGUGUAGCGGUGAAAUGCGCAGAGAUCGGGAGGAACACCCGUAGCGAAGGCGGCACUCUGGGCCGGUACUGACGCUGAGGAGCGAAAGCGUGGGGAGCAAACAGG
rnacentral:rRNA from 1 species